rnacentral:rRNA from 1 species
AACGGGUGAGUAACGCGUAGGUAAUCUGCCUUGGAGAUUGGGAAAACCAUUCGAAAGGAUGGCUAAUACCAGAUACCUUAUAUUAAUCGCAUGAUUUUUAUAAUAAAGGGGGCUUUUAGCUCCCGCUUCAAGAUGAACCUGCGUCCUAUUAGCUAGUUGGUGAGGUAAAGGCUCACCAAGGCGACGAUCCAUAGCUGGUCUGAGAGGAUGAUCAGCCACAUUGGGACUGAGACACGGUCCAGACUCC